UUGUAAACUGAGGCAGAGUCACAGCUACAGUUGGUGUUGUUGUUAAACAUUCGAUAAUACUGUAGGUAAUACUAUAGCCUGUCCUUCAUGUAUAUGGACAUUUGUAUACACAACAUGUAUUGAGGAAUUUCUUUAAAAAAA